rnacentral:rRNA from 1 species
CCUACGGGUGGCAGCAGUGAGGAAUAUUGGUCAAUGGACGAGAGUCUGAACCAGCCAAGUAGCGUGAAGGAUGACUGCCCUAUGGGUUGUAAACUUCUUUUAUAUGGGAAUAAAACGUUCCACGUGUUGGAUUUUGUAUGUACCAUAUGAAUAAGGAUCGGCUAACUCCGUGCCAGCAGCCGCGGUAAUACGGAGGAUCCGAGCGUUAUCCGGAUUUAUUGGGUUUAAAGGGAGCGUAGGUGGAUUGUUAAGUCAGUUGUGAAAGUUUGCGGCUCAACCGUAAAAUUGCAGUUGAAACUGGCAGUCUUGAGUACAGUAGAGGUUGGCGGAAUUCGUGGUGUAGCGGUGAAAUGCUUAGAUAUCACGAAGAACUCCGAUUGCGAAGGCAGUUCACUGGACUGCAACUGACACUGAGGCUCGAAAGUGUGGGUAUCAAACAGGAUUAGAUACCCUGGUAGUC